UUUGACCUCGGAUCAGGUAGGAAUACCCGCUGAACUUAAGCAUAUCAAUAAGCGGGAGGA
rnacentral:rRNA from 1 species